rnacentral:tRNA from 1 species
GCGGGAGUCGCCCAGCUUGGUCAACGGCGUAAGAUUGAGGUUCUUAUCCCUUAGGGGUUCGUGGGUUCAAAUCCCAUCUCCCGCA